ensembl:lncRNA
GCUUUGCUUUGUCUCUAGAGGUGCCUUCGAUGAGGCGACAUUGCAGAUGACCCAGUGUUAGGUAAUUAAGACUCAGGAAAUCACGGCGGUCCUACCUUUAGAACUCACCUCUCUGCCCAGCACUACAUCGCGAAGGGUGGGUCGCCAGAGCUGCGGAAGAGAUGCCCAAGGCUCCCUCUUGCCCUGACAGGCUGGGACACUGCUCCCCUCUGUUGGUUUCUCACCGCACCUCAAUAAACUGAGCUCACAGCAAGAGGCGGGCAUGGGCUGAGUAGAAACACACAGCAGACCCCGGGUGGGCAGGACGGAAGACGAGGGUGCUCGCGGAGACGAGGGUGUGCCCCAGGAAGAAGGUGCACGCGGGGUAGAGGGUGCACAGGCUCUGAGAACCUGGUGGCAGCAAGGCCAGUCAAGGCUGAACUCCAACAGAGGCAGCAGCAACGGUGUUGGGAAGUCACAGAGAAAGCACCACCCAGAGGGGCUGCAAGAACCAGCAGCGACCCCAACCCAACGUGCUCAUCGGACUGGGCACACACACACACUGUGGACACGUGUGAAUAUGUUCCAAUUAAUGUGAUGUUACGUAAUAAUCAACAAUGUUAAUCCCACGACUUCAUUACAUGGCAUCUGGCACAUUGAGACUUUUUAUUCUAUCUCUCUUCCUAUAGAAAGAAGUGAAAAUAGGUCCAAGACCAAUCACAACAAAUUAUUGCUAAUUGCAAAAAAAAAAAAAAAAAAUUCUACCCUCACCUUGGAGGAUCUCAAGGCAACACCUCGUUCUUUGAGGUCAUGGUUUGGACGCUCUCCGGACCCCUAGGUGGAUCUGAAACUGCAAGGAAUCCCCAAAUGGGCAGUUUUGGGGCCAGCCAUACAUCCAGGCAGGUCUUGGCAGGUUGCUCCCUGACCUCGGCUGGUUCACUAACCUUUUCUUGCACUCAGAACCCGCCAGGAACGAGGGCACCGGCCCGCACGUCUCUGCUCCCAAGGCUACAUCCCCUAUGUUCUGCUGCACUCUGGGUUCCAUGCCUUAGAUCCCAGGCACCUUAAAGUUGACGUUUCCCCACCAGCCCUCAUGAAGAUGAUACUCAGAUAACGUCCUUCCUCUCCCACCUGGUCAGUACCCAGGGAGAAAGGAACCCAGGUCUCAGUUUGAUUUUCUGCCAGUCCAUCGAAAAAACAGCUGGCCAGCAGCACUGGUGCACAGCACUGUCAGGUUACCCGUGAGGAAAACAAAACAAAACGAGAUAUACUCAAGUCAGCUGCGGCAAGUGCUUCCACAUCCCUGCUCCAACAAGGAAAGACAGGAGGCCGGGAGUGUGGCUCACACCUCUUGUCCUUCCUUGUUGGGUCAGGGGUACAGAAGCAUUUUGGGAGACUGAGGCAGGACAAAUGCUUGAAUUUGAGACCAGCCUGGGCAACAUAGCAAGACCCCGUCUCUACAAAAAAAAAAAAAAAUUAGCCAGGUGUGGUAUCGUGCCUGUAGUCCCAGAUACUCAGGGGGCUGAGGUGAGAGGAUCACCUGAGUCCAGGAGGCGGAGGUUGCAGGGAGCCAAGACUGCACCACUGCACUCCAACCUGGGCAUCAGGGUGAGACCCUGUAUCAAAAAAAAAAAAAAAAAA